rnacentral:misc_RNA from 1 species
AACGCAAAUUGCGCUCUUGGGUAGCCCUAGGAGCACGCCUCUCUCAGUAUCGGUUCAACAAUCUCUCAGCAGCGUAUUUGGAUAGUUGGAAUAAAAGUUGUUUACUCAGCUUUCUUUCUUUGAUCUUUCGAACGCGUGUUGGCUGGAUAAUGAGAGUCUGUAUGCUUUUGUCGUACAGUCUCUUGAAAUACAUGGAGUAAGCAUAACUAAACGAUUAAAUUCUUUUUUCUACAGUUUAUCAGUCCGCCUGCAAAGGAGGGAUAGAAGAAUAGUAGAGAGAAGAAUAGUAGAGUCUCUGACUUUAGCUUUAUUCGAUAGUGACGUGAAUAUUGGCCUUUAUUGGUCUAACUUUUAUGUUUAUCUAUUUUGAGCAAAGCUUCUAUGGGUCUAAGAUUUAACGAAACAAUUGUUACUUAUUAGUUGUAUGUUUAUGUAUAAGAUAACCAUAUGGUAUUUUGUUUCUUAACAGAAAUGGAAAACCUGAAUUUUGAUCUGAGAUGAAGCGAGACAACCCCCUGAAUUUAA